rnacentral:piRNA from 1 species
UACAACAAGAAUUGAAAUGACAGUGGAUC